AAAUUGAAGAGUUUGAUCAUGGCUCAGAUUGAACGCUGGCGGCAGGCCUAACACAUGCAAGUCGAACGGUAACAGGAAAAAGCUUGCUUUUUUGCUGACGAGUGGCGGACGGGUGAGUAAUGUCUGGGAAACUGCCUGAUGGAGGGGGAUAACUACUGGAAACGGUAGCUAAUACCGCAUAACGUCGCAAGACCAAAGAGGGGGACCUUCGGGCCUCUUGCCAUCGGAUGUGCCCAGAUGGGAUUAGCUAGUUGGUGGGGUAACGGCUCACCAAGGCGACGAUCCCUAGCUGGUCUGAGAGGAUGACCAGCCACACUGGAACUGAGACACGGUCCAGACUCCUACGGGAGGCAGCAGUGGGGAAUAUUGCACAAUGGGCGCAAGCCUGAUGCAGCCAUGCCGCGUGUAUGAAGAAGGCCUUCGGGUUGUAAAGUACUUUCAGCGGGGAGGAAGGGAGUAAAGUUAAUACCUUUGCUCAUUGACGUUACCCGCAGAAGAAGCACCGGCUAACUCCGUGCCAGCAGCCGCGGUAAUACGGAGGGUGCAAGCGUUAAUCGGAAUUACUGGGCGUAAAGCGCACGCAGGCGGUUUGUUAAGUCAGAUGUGAAAUCCCCGGGCUCAACCUGGGAACUGCAUCUGAUACUGGCAAGCUUGAGUCUCGUAGAGGGGGGUAGAAUUCCAGGUGUAGCGGUGAAAUGCGUAGAGAUCUGGAGGAAUACCGGUGGCGAAGGCGGCCCCCUGGACGAAGACUGACGCUCAGGUGCGAAAGCGUGGGGAGCAAACAGGAUUAGAUACCCUGGUAGUCCACGCCGUAAACGAUGUCGACUUGGAGGUUGUGCCCUUGAGGCGUGGCUUCCGGAGCUAACGCGUUAAGUCGACCGCCUGGGGAGUACGGCCGCAAGGUUAAAACUCAAAUGAAUUGACGGGGGCCCGCACAAGCGGUGGAGCAUGUGGUUUAAUUCGAUGCAACGCGAAGAACCUUACCUGGUCUUGACAUCCACGGAAGUUUUCAGAGAUGAGAAUGUGCCUUCGGGAACCGUGAGACAGGUGCUGCAUGGCUGUCGUCAGCUCGUGUUGUGAAAUGUUGGGUUAAGUCCCGCAACGAGCGCAACCCUUAUCCUUUGUUGCCAGCGGUCCGGCCGGGAACUCAAAGGAGACUGCCAGUGAUAAACUGGAGGAAGGUGGGGAUGACGUCAAGUCAUCAUGGCCCUUACGACCAGGGCUACACACGUGCUACAAUGGCGCAUACAAAGAGAAGCGACCUCGCGAGAGCAAGCGGACCUCAUAAAGUGCGUCGUAGUCCGGAUUGGAGUCUGCAACUCGACUCCAUGAAGUCGGAAUCGCUAGUAAUCGUGGAUCAGAAUGCCACGGUGAAUACGUUCCCGGGCCUUGUACACACCGCCCGUCACACCAUGGGAGUGGGUUGCAAAAGAAGUAGGUAGCUUAACCUUCGGGAGGGCGCUUACCACUUUGUGAUUCAUGACUGGGGUGAAGUCGUAACAAGGUAACCGUAGGGGAACCUGCGGUUGGAUCACCUCCUUA
rnacentral:rRNA from 1 species